rnacentral:tRNA from 1 species
GCACUAGUAGCUCAGUUUUCAGAGCGCCGGUCUUGUAAGCCGGAUGCCGGAGGUUAAAAUCCUCCCUACUGCU